AUGUCCUCCCCGUCCCCAUAGAACCGAUGCAGUGCGCAUGCUCAGAUCUGCUCCUGUGGUACGGAAUAAGUCACAGCAAAGCGCCAUCUUCAGGUUUUACACAGGACAACAAUUGCAAGCUAUUUCACCAUCCAUGUCUUGACCUAAAAUGAAAAUGAUUCUCUGCGAAUGAUAAUGCUUUAACAUUUCAUUAUACUUUAUAAUGAUUUAUGCUGUUUUUGUGUAAGGAUCAAAUGAUCUUCAAACAGCUGUCUGCAUUUGUCUUUUAUUCUUUGUCUAUCUGUAAAUGAUGUUUAACAACAGCCAAAGUAAUUCAAAACAAAUAGAUAUUCAUGGACGAAUAAUUACAGAUUAAACUUUUAUAAUAUUUGGUGUAACUUUGUGACGUACAUAAACCAAGGAGCCCAACAAGAAUGAAAUAUUUCUAAAAUCAAUUCUAAUAAUCCACCCAAAAUAUGAAUACAGGACCCCUUGUUUAUUUUUGAGUUGUUCCCACAUUACUGUUAAUUGGUUUUCCUGCACUUGAAGCUAAUUUUGUGUGGCUAGAUUUCCUUUGUUUUAUUCAGUUAUUAUUGUCAAUCUAUAGCAAAUGGUUUCUGUGCUAUUUUGUAAUUACUAAAAUAAUUUAUUAAUAAUUAAUUACAAAACAAAUCAAAUUGAUUUUACAAUCACAUUGCACUUGUCCAGCUGAUUAAUGUUUUUCAAGGACCGUAACAUUAUUUGAUUCCUUGGUUGCUCUCAAAGUCAGUGUAACGGUGUAUUGUUGUUCCAGUUAAAUACAUCAGUGUGGUUACCAUGUAUAUAAUUCAGUCAGCAGAUGUCACCAGAAGUCUCUCAUUUUGACUGGACUUGCGUCAUUGUUGCUUUAUGACUCCUGCUUCGCUUGGUUGAGUAAAUUCUGUCUCGCAGGACGGUUUUAUGGUGGGAAUCAGUCUGGGUAGAAAUAUGGCUUUCAAUGAUAGUCAUAUUUCCUAUAUGAUUUCUUUUAUGUUCAGAUGUAAUGUUUAUCCUCCUACAAAAGCUUAAACGUCCGCACACUUACUCAACUCACUACUAUUACUCAGAAGAAAGUAACCCUGAACCUCUUAGAAUUGGAAAAAGAGAAGCAGCCCGAAUGUUCUUUUGAAACGGAUGACUAGGCUGUUUAAUCUAGCGUAGGGACAUGAAGCUGCGAUGACAGUUUGCUUCAGAAGUGUCACUUCUCUUCAAACCCAAAGAGAAAAAAAAGGGAACUGGCACUGAUGGAGGGGACAGAUAGCGACGGUGGUGGCAGCUGGAUGAAGCUAACACCCUGUUCUGCUCUGAGGGCAGCUCAGCGUGACCAAGUCCCUGAAAUGUGGGCGAAGAACAUCCACACUCUCAUGACACACACAGCCCACUGCAGCCACUGAGUGGGGAGGCUCGACCUGUUACCGUGUGACAAACUUUUCCAACAGACACUCAGUUCAAAAAUUCCAACAAACUCAAUUUGACUGUGACUGUAAAAUGUGUCAUUACAUGUAAAUUGUGUUGAAUUUACUGGCAUUACCAUGUAUUUUGUGGCUGAAUUGAAUGAUUUUUGAACAUU